rnacentral:rRNA from 1 species
UACAGAGGGGGCAAGCGUUAUUCGGAAUUAUUGGGCGUAAAGGGCGCGUAGGCGGCCACCGCAAGUCAGUUGUGAAAUCUCUGGGCUUAGCCCAGAAAGGUCAACUGAUACUGCGGGGCUAGAGUGCAGAAGGGGCAACUGGAAUUCUCGGUGUAGCGGUGAAAUGCGUAGAUAUCGAGAGGAACACCUGCGGCGAAGGCGGGUUGCUGGGCUGACACUGACGCUGAGGCGCGAAAGCUAGGGGAGCGAACGGG